rnacentral:rRNA from 1 species
UGUGUAGGCGGUUCUCUAAGUUUGGUGUGAAAUCUCCCGGCUCAACCGGGAGGGUGCGCCGAAAACUGGAGGGCUAGAGUGCGGGAAGGGAGAGUAGAAUUCCUGGUGUAGCGGUGAAAUGCGUAGAUAUCAGGAGGAAUACCGGUGGUGUAGACGGCUCUCUGGACCGCGACUGACGCUGAGACACGAAAGCGUGGGUAGCAAACA